UAAAGAGGUUUCCAAGUGGUGGAGAAAAGAAGAGCAAGAAGUGUAAGAAAUGGACGAUAUCAUGGCAAAACAAAUGCAUGUCUUGAUUUUUUUCAUCAUUCUCGUUUUUGCUGAAGAGAUAUCAGUUCAGGCUGCAACAGAAGAAUGCAUUCCC